GUAGGUGAACCUGCGGAAGGAUCAUUGCAAGUGGAGAUUAAGGGUUGGUGGCAUUUAUGCGGCCAGCCAUUAAAUUAGGUCGUCUGCGGUGGUGUAUUGUUGUAGUGAUGGUAUAUCGCUCGCAGACAACAGCAGCGCGUGUGUGUGUGGCAGUCAAAAUACCGAAUUAUAUACAACUUUUAACAAUGGAUCUCUUGGCUCUU
rnacentral:misc_RNA from 1 species